rnacentral:rRNA from 1 species
UGGGCGAAAGCCUGACCGAGCGACGCCGCGUGCGGGAUGAAGGCCUUCGGGUUGUAAACCGCUGUCGUUGGGGAGGAAAUGCAGGGGGGUUCUCCCCUCUGUUUGACCUAUCCAAGGAGGAAGUACGGGCUAAGUUCGUGCCAGCAGCCGCGGUAAGACGAACCGUACGAACGUUAUUCGGAAUUACUGGGCUUAAAGGGUGCGUAGGCUGCGCGGAAAGUUGGGUGUGAAAGCCCUCAGCUCAACUGAGGAACUGCACUCAAAACUACCGUGCUCGAGGGAGACAGAGGUAAGCGGAACUCAAGGUGGAGCGGUGAAAUGCGUUGAUAUCUUGAGGAACACCGGUGGCGAAGGCGGCUUACUGGGUCUUUUCUGACGCUGAGGCACGAAAGCUAAGGUAGCAAACGGGAUUAGAUACCCCGGUAGUCUUAGCUGUAAACGAUGAGCACUUGUUUGAAGGGUCCUCCAUAGCCUUUCAGACGUAGCGAAAGUGUUAAGUGCUCCGCCUGGGGA